CAGCACCUCAAGUGGUCAGGAUGAUUAUUUGGCCUAAAGCGUCCGUAGCCGGCCGGGUAAGUUUCCCGUUAAAUCCAGCGUCUCAAGCGUUGGACUGCGGGAAAUACUGCCUGGCUAGAGAGUGGGAGAGGUCAGCGGUAUUCUGGGGGUAGGGGCGAAAUCCUUUGAUCCCCGGAGGACCACCAGUGGCGAAGGCUGCUGACUAGAACACGUCUGACGGUCAGGGACGAAAGCUGGGGUAGCGAACCGGAUUAGAUACCCGAGUAGUCC
rnacentral:rRNA from 1 species